rnacentral:rRNA from 1 species
UACGGGGGGGGCAAGCGUUGUUCGGAAUUACUGGGCGUAAAGGGCUUGUAGGUGGCCAACUAAGUCCGACGUGAAAUCCCCAGGCUCAACCUGGGAACUGCAUCCGAUACUGGAUGGCUUGAAUUCGGGAGAGGGAUGCAGAAUUCCAGGUGUAGCGGUGAAAUGCGUAGAUAUCUGGAGGAAUACCGGUGGCGAAGGCGGCAUCCUGGACCGACAUUGACGCUGAGGAGCGAAAGCCAGGGGAGCAAACGGG